CCUACGGGAGGCAGCAGUCGAGAAUCAUUCACAAUGGGGGAAACCCUGAUGGUGCGACGCCGCGUGGGGGAAUGAAGGUCUUCGGAUUGUAAACCCCUGUCAUGUGGGAGCAAAUUAAAAAGAUAGUACCACAAGAGGAAGAGACUGCUAACUCUGUGCCAGCAGCCGCGGUAAUACAGAGGUCUCAAGCGUUGUUCGGAAUCACUGGGCGUAAAGCGUGCGUAGGCUGUUUCGUAAGUCGUGUGUGAAAGGCGCGGGCUCAACCCGCGGACGGCACAUGAUACUGCGAGACUAGAGUAAGGGAGGGGGAACCGGAAUUCUCGGUGUAGCAGUGAAAUGCGUAGAUAUCGAGAGGAACACUCGUGGCGAAGGCGGGUUCCUGGACAGUAACUGACGCUGAGGCACGAAGGCCAGGGGAGCGAAAGGGAUUAGAUACCCCAGUAGUC
rnacentral:rRNA from 1 species